rnacentral:rRNA from 1 species
CAGCAGUGCACACAUGGAGGUGGCGAUAGAAUAGGUAAGCAGAGGUGGGUGGCUCUAAGUAGACGUAGGUCGAGGGAAGAGAUCGAGGGAGAAAGAGUAGGGGCACGAAGGUGUUUAUACGUCGCGAUCUACACGUUUCAGCGACCGUAGGGGGGCAAGGUGGCCUCGCUCGCGGCGGUGGCCUAGAGCAGGGGAGGCGAGGGAGAGGGUACGGCAGCCGCGUGCGGGGCCGGUGCCACGCCAGCGCCGUCUGGAAGUCGACCUAGACGUGGAGCGUGUCGAACGUACGGCCGCAGGAGAAGGUGAGGAAGGGGAACCUGCCGGUGGGAGUCCAAGAGGCUACUCUAGGCGCACACUGCGCGGCGCGCUACCUCUACAGCUGUAGUCCCCAGAGAGGGAGGGCAGGCGCAGUUCCGGCCUCCCCUGACGGCCGCCACCUGUCGUUCGCUCGCUCGCAUGCUACCGGCGGGAGCGGCAGCCCUACCGAGCGACGUCGCCGUAGGAGGAGUAGGACUAAGAGAGACAGCCCUACCGGAGUCUCAGGCGCAACCACCCGCUGUCCACUCGGUGCCCGAGCGUCAGCAGCACGCCACGACCCUACGUAACGCGGAGGACGAGGGGUGAGCGGCCCCCGGGGACGAUGCGGUGGGGCACGUGGGGCAAGAGGCGCCGCCGGAUGUUGUGACGGCCACGCCAGUCUUUGUCAGAUCUACGAAAUAAUAAAUGAUUUUAUCCCUCACGCCCAACUAUAGUAAAUUUGGCUCCCCGGAAAAACUUUUUGACGGUACUACUGCCUGCUGUCUUUGGGUUAAACGAAAUAAUAAUCCAUUUCUAUAUAGCUAGAAAUGCAGAGCUGGUAAAGUUCUAAGGAGCAGUACAGGGGCUAGAGUAGACUCUGAGGCUUGAGGAAGUCAUGUAGUUUUGUGUAUUUGAGUAUUAUAUUUAGCAGUGGCUUGAAAUUCGCACGCCUGGGAUACCCAAGUUCUUGUUACAUCUGUACUGGCUCUGUGCGGAGGCCAGUUAUUGGUUAUCGCCUUGGACCUACGAGUAUAACCGAGGAUGUAUAAGAUUCUUCUAGAAAGAGCCAGUUUGGCGUAUUGUUGUAUACAACAAGGGAAACAGUAGCCAUACAAUGAAUGGGCUCUAAGCUAGCAGCAUAGAGUUAUGGAUCGAGUUAUAGCAAUGGCCGUUCAGAGAAAUGAGCAAGGCAUUAUGUAGUAGGACGUAGAUUGAGUAAUCAAUGUUACGAACGUUCCGAAUAUCACUACACGUAAUGGCUCACCCGGGUCUCUAUGGAGAGGCUGUUAGCCUCACUGUUUAGGAUUAGAGCUUUAUGCGGUUGAGUUGUACAUGGAGGCCUCUGUGGAAAUCUCGAGGAAAUAUUAGUGGGUCAAUGCAACACUGCAAACCAUCGUGUGUUUCACAAGGAAGCCAUUUGCCCUCAACGUAUUAGAGUAUCAGUAUCUUUGUACAUAUUCAGUACUUCUUUCGUUAUCGUUGUAUGAUUUACUAGUUCACGAUUCGAUUGCCUUACCCAGUUCAGUUAGUGUAGUAAGAGGAUUACUACACUAGGGCAAUUAGUUUACUGUUGGGUACAGAUACCGAUCCUUUGUGUUGGUAGAAACUAGUUGUUCGAUCAGUUCAUCUCCGUAUGAUCACUGUGCUACAAACAGAUACAUAAGUGUGUACAUAAUACAAAGGCCAAUUAUGUUAAGAUCGUACUUAUUAUUUGUAAAUAGUACUAUACUCCUUUAUUUAUUAUUGAAAUAAUAACGGAGAUCCCGUAUCAAGGAAGUCACCACUACCACUACUACUUCAAUGACCACGUCCCGAAGCGGAUUCGUGAUGUUGUUAUACUGGCUCCACCUUUAUACACCUCCCCCCGUGGUGUGUGCCGAUUUGUUAGUUGAACACACAGAUACCCCACGGGGGAGGGGGCAUAUAUUUCCUCCUCUCCUCUCCGGAUGUUGGGAGCAACCACGUGGGCGUUUCCCCCUUAGCAUGAUCCUGAGGUUCAGGAUCAUCCAAAGGUGGUUCUUCCUCUCUCCCCC